rnacentral:misc_RNA from 1 species
AUCUCGGAGGGGGCUCGCGUUUUCACACAAAACCCCCCUUUUAAAAGUGUAGAAUGACCUCAUUUAUGCGCUAACCCGCAAUCAAUACAACUUUCAACAACGGAUCUCUUGGCUCUCGCAUCGAUGAAGAACGCAGCGAAAUGCGAUACGUAAUGUGAAUUGCAGAAUUCAGUGAAUCAUCGAAUCUUUGAACGCACCUUGCGCCCCCUGGUAUUCCGAGGGGCACACCCGUUUGAGUGUCGUGAAAACCUCAACCUCCUUGGUUUCUUCUGGAGACCAAAGCAGGCUUGGACUUUGGAGGCCUUUGCUGGCACCUCUCGCCAGCUCCUCUUAAAUGAAUUAGCAGGGUCCUCUUUGCUGAUCCUCGACGUGUGAUAAGAUGUUUCCAUGUCUUGGUUUCUGGCUCUGUCACCUUUGGGACCCGCUUCUAACCGUCUUCAACCUUGCGUUGAGACAACGUUCGAGCAUGUCUCCCUUCUCGGGAAGCUCCCUCGACCCCACGAACCCUUGACCUCAAAUCGGGUGAGACUACCCGCUGAACUUAAGCAUAU